CCGAAAGUUCUUCUGUUUUAAAAAAACCUCAAGGAAAUUGAAUUUGUAGUGAAGAUGCUACAUUAAAGUGGUUAGACGAGAAGUCCCCAUGGAGCUUUACUGAAAGCUUAAAAAAAAAAGUUUUUUAUUUAUUUAUAGGCUAGACAGUUUUGUUGGGGUGAUAGUUUUUUAAAAAGUAACGAAAACGAACUAUGACGCAUGUUUCACUCUGAAAACUUGAAGAGACAUUUGGGGUGUGUUUUAUGAUCUAUUGUUUUGAAUGAAAAAGAUAAUGAAAGCA
rnacentral:rRNA from 1 species